UACGGAGGGAGCUAGCGUUGUUCGGAAUUACUGGGCGUAAAGCGCACGUAGGCGGCUUUGUAAGUUAGAGGUGAAAGCCCGGGGCUCAACUCCGGAACUGCCUUUAAGACUGCAUCGCUUGAAUCCAGGAGAGGUGAGUGGAAUUCCGAGUGUAGAGGUGAAAUUCGUAGAUAUUCGGAAGAACACCAGUGGCGAAGGCGGCUCACUGGACUGGUAUUGACGCUGAGGUGCGAAAGCGUGGGGAGCAAACGGG
rnacentral:rRNA from 1 species